UCCAGAGGUCUCGAGCGUUAGGCGGAAUCACUGGGCUUAAAGCGUGUGUAGGCGGAUCGGUAAGUACCUUGUGAAAUCCCACAGCUUAACUGUGGAACUGCUUGGUAUACUGCCAGUCUUGAGCCACUUAGGGGCUACCGGAACAAAUGGUGGAGCGGUGAAAUGCGUAGAUAUCAUUUGGAACGCCAAUGGUGAAAACAGGUAGCUGGGAGUGUGCUGACGCUGAGACACGAAAGCCAGGGGAGCAAACGGG
rnacentral:rRNA from 1 species